UACAGAGGUCUCAAGCGUUGUUCGGAUUCAUUGGGCGUAAAGGGUGCGUAGGCGGCGCGGUAAGUCGGGUGUGAAAUCUCGGGGCUUAACUCCGAAACUGCAUUCGAUACUGCCGUGAUUGAGGACUGGAGAGGAGACUGGAAUUUACGGUGUAGCAGUGAAAUGCGUAGAUAUCGUAAGGAAGACCAGUGGCGAAGGCGGGUCUCUGGACAGUUCCUGACACUGAGGCACGAAGGCCAGGGGAGCAAACGGG
rnacentral:rRNA from 1 species